CCUACGGGAGGCUGCAGUGGGGGAUAUUGCACAAUGGGGGAAACCCUGAUGCAGCGACGCCGCGUGGGUGAAGAAGGGCCUCGGCGGGUAAAGCCCUGUUAGCAGGGAAGAAAAUGACGGUACCUGAAGAAGAAGCCGCGGCUAACUACGAGCCAGCAGCCGCGGCAAUACGUCGGGGGCAAGCGUUAUCCGGAUUUACUGGGGGUAAAGGGGGCGGAGGCGGCGAAGCAAGCCAGGAGUGAAAGCCCGGGGCCCAACCCCGGGACUGCUCUUGAAACUGCGUGGCUUGAGUGCAGGAGGGGCAGGCGGAAUGCCUGGUGUAGCGGUGAAAUGCGUAGAUAUAAGGAGGAACACCGGUGGCGAAGGCGGCCUGCUGGACUGCAACUGACGCUGAGGCCCGAAAGCGUGGGGAGCAAACAGGAUUAGAUACCCGUGUAGUC
rnacentral:rRNA from 1 species